AAUAAAAAAAAAUAAUACAAGACACCAGGCCCAAAUGGAGCCGCUUAGGCUAUGCCUCACAUAAACAAGUCGAGACUUAAUUAGACUUUUGGCCCUCCCAGGAAUAGAAUCUUAAACCAGUCAAUCAGGAAUCACCUGAUGCGCAGCAGUUUGGUGGCAGCAGUGGGAUCCAAAGGAGACACCUGAUGGCUUCGAGGAUGAGAAACACAGUCAUUGGUACCCGCAAAACCUUUGAGUUCUCCAUCUUUUUCACUGUUUCUGAGGGCUGUGGGAGAUGAGCUGCCGUGACCUUCUUACCCUUGUCCGGUGUGAGCUUCUGGAGGCCACUGAGGCAAAGCCAGAGGGUAAGGGGGACUGCAGGCUGGGUAUUCCUGGAAGGGAGGGGGAUCUUUCCUGUGUUUAGAAGGACACAUGGAAAGUCAGCUAUGUGGGUGAACCUUUCUCUU